AGUCGAGCGGUAACAUUUCUAGCUUGCUAGAAGAUGACGAGCGGCGGACGGGUGAGUAACGCGUAGGAAUCUGCCUAGUAGAGGGGGACAACAUGUGGAAACGCAUGCUAAUACCGCAUACGCCCUACGGGGGAAAGGAGGGGAUCUUCGGACCUUCCGCUAUUAGAUGAGCCUGCGUAAGAUUAGCUAGUUGGUGGGGUAAAGGCUCACCAAGGCGACGAUCUUUAACUGGUCUGAGAGGAUGACCAGUCACACUGGGACUGAGACACGGCCCAGACUCCUACGGGAGGCAGCAGUGGGGAAUAUUGGACAAUGGGCGAAAGCCUGAUCCAGCCAUGCCGCGUGUGUGAAGAAGGCCUUAGGGUUGUAAAGCACUUUCAGGAGUGAGGAAGGGUGCUUGGUUAAUACCCAAGUAUUUUGACGUUAGCUCCAGAAGAAGCACCGGCUAACUCUGUGCCAGCAGCCGCGGUAAU
rnacentral:rRNA from 1 species